GAUAAUUAUGAGAAAAUUUUCUCGAAUCUUAUUUAUAAUAUUGUCAACUCUUAUUCGUUAAUGUGUAUCAAAAUCUCAGACCUUCGCCCAGCAAUAUACCAGUGAUGUAACCUAUGCCCCAUCUGCAUUGUGCAGCAUACAUAAAAUACACACAAGAACUAGCACAGAGAAAGAUGAAGAGGAUUUGGUCAAUGAAGAAACCGAGCAGAGUUUGGCUGCCAUGGAGGUUCUCCACUUCAAUGAAAUGGAAGGGUGUUAGUUUUCAAAUAUGGCUAGUUGAUGAUGUUAUUUUCAAGAUUGUUUAUGUGGUAGAGGCCAUUUUUCUUGUUUCUACUUUGUGCUUCUUCUACCUCUGCUGUGGUUGUCAUUUCUAGUUUUAUUAGUUUAUUCUUUUGAAAUUUUUUUGACCAAAUUCAGCCCACUUAAUUAAUUAGUUUUUAUUCUUUCAUAUAUAAUCAAUUGUAUUUUUUUCUAGUGAAUUUAGUGAUCUUUUGUUAUCAUCUGGUUUUAGCCUGAGAAGGAACAACUAAUUGUAAUCUGUAAAAGGAGUUGAAUUCUUGAAGUGUGCCAUUUUUUAUUUGAG
rnacentral:lncRNA from 1 species